rnacentral:tRNA from 1 species
AAGGGUAUAACUCAGUGGUAGAGCACAUGCUUAGCAUGCUGGAGGUCCUGGGUUCGAUUCCCAGCACCUCCA